rnacentral:ribozyme from 1 species
GUGCCAGGAGCUGCGACGGGGCAUGGACCGCGCGGACCUGCGCUGCCUGGCCUUCUCGCCGCGCCACCUCGCCUGCACCAGCGACAAGGGCACAGUCCAUAUUUUUACAUUGAAUAAAAAAGCUCGCACAGAUAA